GUGCCCAUAGUUCAGCUGGUUAGAGCGUCGGAUUGUGGUUCCGAAGGUCGUGGGUUCGAAUCCCACUGGGCACCCCA
rnacentral:tRNA from 1 species